CAGCCGCCGCGGGAUACGGAGGGUGCAAGCGUUAUCCGGAUUUAUUGGGUUUAAAGGGUCCGUAGGCGGACUUAUAAGUCAGUGGUGAAAGCCUGUCGCUUAACGAUAGAACUGCCAUUGAUACUGUAAGUCUUGAGUAUAUUUGAGGUAGCUGGAAUAAGUAGUGUAGCGGUGAAAUGCAUAGAUAUUACUUAGAACACCAAUUGCGAAGGCAGGUUACCAAGAUAUAACUGACGCUGAGGGACGAAAGCGUGGGUAGCGAACAGGAUUAGAUACCCCGGUAGUCCCUGUCUCUUAUACA
rnacentral:rRNA from 1 species